rnacentral:rRNA from 1 species
AGUCGAGCGGGAUCCUGUUGAUCAAUCCUUCGGGAGAGAAACUUCAGGUGAGAGCGGCGAACGGGUGAGUAAUAUAUGGGUAAUCUGCCUUGAAGCCCGGGAUAGCCAUUGGAAACGAUGGGUAAUACCGGAUGUGCUCGCUCCGCACCUGCGGAGUUAUGUAAAGGUGGGGAUCUUCGGACCUGCCACUUUAAGAUGGGCCCAUAUCCUAUCAGCUUGUUGGUGAGGUAACAGCUCACCAAGGCUUUGACGGGUAGCCGACCUGAGAGGGUGACCGGCCACACUGGGACUGAGACACUGCCCAGACUCCUACGGGAGGCUGCAGUCGAGAAUCAUUGUCAAUGUACGAAAGUAUGAACAUGCGACGCCGCGUGGAGGACGAAGGCCUUCGGGUUGUAAACUCCUGUCAUGAGGGAGGAACCGCAGACGGUUAAUACCCGUUCUGUUUGACAGUACCUCAAGAGGAAGUCACGGCUAACUCUGUGCCAGCAGCCGCGGUAAUACAGAGGUGGCAAGUGUUGUUCGGAUUUACUGGGCGUAAAGGGUCCGCAGGCGGUUCUGUGUGUCAGAUGUGAAAAUCCACGGCUCAACCGUGGAACUGCAUUUGAAACUACAGAACUAGAGUACAGCAGGGGAGAGGGGAAUUCAUGGUGUAGCGGUGAAAUGCGUAGAUAUCAUGAAGAACACCGGUGGCGAAAGCGCCUCUCUGGACUGAUACUGACGCUCAUGGACGAAAGCCGGGGGAGCGAAAAGGAUUAGAUACCCUUGUAGUCCCGGCCAUAAACGGUGUGCACUUGAUGUGGGAGGAUUACCCCCUUCCGUGUCG